UAUACUCUUACUUCAAGCCUCAGUGAGUCUGUUAGCUCUCCUCUCGUGUUGGGCCAUCAGUCAUCUGUGAACAAGCCUGUCCGCAGAGAGGCAGCGACUAAGGAGAAGAGAUGUCACUGGAGAAAGAAUUGGGAAGGCAAGGCUAUACCUGUUCAAGCUUAAGGCAUCAAGCGCGGCAGCCCUGUGCGCAUGCGCCUGAGGAAAGCGCCGUAGACCACACAAGUGGGGAGUAAAAAGGCUGCCCAACUCUUACUACAACUCUUUUGCCCCAGGCUCGAGGUGUGAUCCCAGCGGCCAGAGCAGUAGCCAUCACCAUCCUCAACAGUUUCUGAAUGAUCUCAACAACAUUGUGUCUUUGCUGAACGGUGCACUUUACAAAGCUUAUCGAAUGAAGUGGGAAGAACAUCACACACACAGCCCCGUUCAAUUGUAAAGAUGAAAAGGAAAGUGUUCCUUUCUCGGCAUGCCUGCAGCAAACUCAAGGGACCUCCCAGCGGUAAGCAAAAAGAAGAAGAAAAUAGCAAAAGAACUGAGACACAGAAGAGAAAUAUUCAGCCUUCCUCACUUCUGAAUCACUUCUGAACUUGCUCAAUGAUCUCUUCAAGGACCUGACAUGUCUUCUUUAAACAGGGGGCCCAGGAUGAGGACGCUUCCCUUUCAGAACCCGUCCAGCCCGCCAGCCAGUCAGCUCAGCCAGCCAUUCGGAGUACUAGUACACGCCCUGUGUCACCAUUGGUCAGGGACUCCCGGAGUCUCAACGGAGCCCUGGAGCCCGGCAGAGUUGUACUUGGAAGUAGGGAGUAGCACAUUGCUGGGCAAGUUCCUCCAGGUCAGGUGUGCCUAUUUGAUUGUAGUUCUCUUUCCCAUCCCCCCUGCCCAAC